GGAUCCAUCCGCCUGCUCCGUGCUGUGGUCUUCGUGGUUCGAGGGCCCUCCUAUUGGUGUUCAGUCCAGCUUCUUCUUACUCCUAUGGAUAGCCUCUGCAAAUAGGGAAAAAAACUCUGUCGUUUUGUUUUAUUUGUGCUAUAUGUGUGUCAAUCAUAUCUACAUUGUACUUAAGCCAGCCGUCUGCUUAUUUUGCGCACUUGGCUUCAUUUCAUUUUGUGACAGUUCCUAGUCCUGCUCUUAGUAUUAGUCUCUUAAGAGUAUGAUGUGUUCUUUGCCUGCGCUCAUGUUUUAUUCUAUUGUGUAUGCUCGGUUGCAAAGGCUUUGUUUUGUCAUUUCAUUGCUGUUGUGCGCAUUUUUUUUUCCUGCACUUGCCUUGUGGUUCGUAAAUUAUGUCAAUGUGCGUUGCUUUUCCUGUUAGUGUGUUCACAAUUUAAUUUAAUACAUGCCCUUUGUACUCAGGAUAUUGUUGUUGUGCAGUGACCUUUUUUGGGGGUUGUCAUUUGUGCUAUCCUGCCUUUAGGUUACUUUUGCAUUUGACCUCCAUUUUAGUUAUGGUCUUCAUUUGCUUAACUGCUUCAGUGUCAUUUCUUUUUUUCAGUGCAUUUAUUUCUCUGUGUGGGUUGCAUAGCUGUGUUGGCUUCUAUUUUCAAUGCCUUCUAGAAGGGCAACAAAUGCUCGGUCAGCUGCGUGCGCAUUAUCUUCUACAUCAGCCCAUUCUGCUUUGUCCGUCCGUCGUGUGCGUGGUAGUGCUCGGGGAAGCUGUCAUGGCCGUUAUGGUCAUCGUGUGCGCACUGGUCUUAUUGAAGGCCGACCAGCUGCAUUUUUAAGUGCAGGUCCGUUCUUAUUUAAGGAUCAUCUUGAUUCAGUGUGGCUCAUUUUGUGCUCGGUUGUUCCAUGUUCUUCACCCUGCUCGGUGCAGCCUCCUCGGCUGUUCCUUGUUGGGGCAUCAUCGUCAGAGACCAUUACUGUCCGCUGGGGCUACGUGUUGAUUCUAACAAGAAUCAUGUUAAAAG